UACAGAGGUCCCAAGCGUUGUUCGGAUUCAUUGGGCGUAAAGGGUGCGUAGGCGGCGCGGUAAGUCGGGUGUGAAAUCUCGGGGCUUAACUCCGAAACUGCAUUCGAUACUGCCGUGCUUGAGGACUGGAGAGGAGACUGGAAUUUACGGUGUAGCGGUGAAAUGCGUAGAUAUUCGGAGGAACACCAAAGGCGAAGGCAGUGUCCUGGGGAGCAUCUGACGCUCAGGUGCGAAAGCUAGGGGAGCGAACGGG
rnacentral:rRNA from 1 species